rnacentral:rRNA from 1 species
GAUGAACGCUGGCGGCGUGCCUAAUACAUGCAAGUCGAGCGAACAGACGAGGAGCUUGCUCCUCUGACGUUAGCGGCGGACGGGUGAGUAACACGUGGAUAACCUACCUAUAAGACUGGGAUAACUUCGGGAAACCGGAGCUAAUACCGGAUAAUAUAUUGAACCGCAUGGUUCAAUAGUGAAAGACGGUUUUGCUGUCACUUAUAGAUGGAUCCGCGCCGCAUUAGCUAGUUGGUAAGGUAACGGCUUACCAAGGCAACGAUGCGUAGCCGACCUGAGAGGGUGAUCGGCCACACUGGAACUGAGACACGGUCCAGACUCCUACGGGAGGCAGCAGUAGGGAAUCUUCCGCAAUGGGCGAAAGCCUGACGGAGCAACGCCGCGUGAAUGAUGAAGGUCUUCGGAUCGUAAAACUCUGUUAUUAGGGAAGAACAAAUGUGUAUGUAACUAUGCACGUCUUGACGGUACCUAAUCAGAAAGCCACGGCUAACUACGUG